UUUAAUUGAAGAGUUUGAUCAUGGCUCAGAUUGAACGCUGGCGGCAGGCCUAACACAUGCAAGUCGAGCGGUAACAGGGGAAGCUUGCUUCCCGCUGACGAGCGGCGGACGGGUGAGUAAUGUAUGGGGAUCUGCCCGAUAGAGGGGGAUAACCACUGGAAACGGUGGCUAAUACCGCAUAAUCUCUUAGGAGCAAAGCAGGGGAACUUCGGUCCUUGCGCUAUCGGAUGAACCCAUAUGGGAUUAGCUAGUAGGUGGGGUAAUGGCUCACCUAGGCGACGAUCCCUAGCUGGUCUGAGAGGAUGAUCAGCCACACUGGGACUGAGACACGGCCCAGACUCCUACGGGAGGCAGCAGUGGGGAAUAUUGCACAAUGGGCGCAAGCCUGAUGCAG
rnacentral:rRNA from 1 species